GAUGAACGCUAGCUACAGGCUUAACACAUGCCAGUCGAGGGGAAACGGCAUUGAGUGCUUGCACUCUUUGGACGUCGACCGGCGCACGGGUGAGUAACGCGUAUCCAACCUUCCCAUUACUGUGGGAUAACCUGCCGAAAGGCAGACUAAUACCGCAUAGUCUUCGAUGACGGCAUCAGAUUUGAAGUAAAGAUUUAUCGGUAAUGGAUGGGGAUGCGUCUGAUUAGCUUGUUGGCGGGGUAACGGCCCACCAAGGCUACGAUCAGUAGGGGUUCUGAGAGGAAGGUCCCCCACAUUGGAACUGAGACACGGUCCAAACUCCUACGGGAGGCAGCAGUGAGGAAUAUUGGUCAAUGGACGGAAGUCUGAACCAGCCAAGUAGCGUGCAGGAGGACGGCCCUAUGGGUUGUAAACUGCUUUUGUAUGGGGAUAAAGUUAGGGACGUGUCCCUAUUUGCAGGUACCAUACGAAUAAGGACCGGCUAAUUCCGUG
rnacentral:rRNA from 1 species